UACGUAGGGUGCGAGCGUUAAUCGGAAUUACUGGGCGUAAAGCGUGCGCAGGCGGUUUUGUAAGCCAGAUGUGAAAUCCCCGGGCUUAACCUGGGAAUGGCAUUUGGGACUGCAAGGCUGGAGUGCGGCAGAGGAGACUGGAAUUCCUGGUGUAGCAGUGAAAUGCGUAGAUAUCAGGAGGAAUACCGAUGGCGAAGGCAGGUCUCUGGGCUGACACUGACGCUCAUGCACGAAAGCGUGGGGAGCAAACGA
rnacentral:rRNA from 1 species